rnacentral:rRNA from 1 species
CUACGGAGGGGGCUAGCGUUGUUCGGAAUUACUGGGCGUAAAGCGCGUGUAGGCGGAUCGUUAAGUCAGGGGUGAAAGCCCGGGGCUCAACCCCGGAACUGCCCUUGAUACUGGCGAUCUAGAGUCCGGAAGAGGUGGGCGGAAUUCCCGGUGUAGAGGUGAAAUUCGUAGAUAUCGGGAGGAACACCAGUGGCGAAGGCGGCUCACUGGUCCGGCACUGACGCUGAGACGCGAAAGCGUGGGGAGCAAACAGGAUUAGAUACCCUAGUAGUCC